UUGCCAACGUUAGGCCGAGUGCGAUGUCAUGUUUGUGUGUGUGUUGCCAACGUUAGGCCGAGUGCGAUAUCGUGUUUGUGUGUGUGUCUGUUGCCGUUAGGCCGAGUGCGAUGUCAUGUUUGUGUGUGUGUUUGUUGCCAACGUUAGGCCAAGUGCAAUGUCAUGUUUGUGUGUGUGUGUCUGUUGCCAACGUUAGGCCAAGUGCGAUGUCAUGUUUGUGUGUGUGUCUGUUGCCAACGUUAGGCCAAGUGCAAUGUCGGAGAGGUGGUGUUGGGUGUUUCCGCCACAUGUUGUGGCAUGGAGGGCCCCUGCUUCCCAGCGUCCUGUGAGGGGCUCCACAU
rnacentral:lncRNA from 10 species